rnacentral:lncRNA from 1 species
GAUACUGUCUGCUAUGGGGAGCCUAGGCCCCUGAACAGGAGCCUAACUCCUGGUUUAUUACAGGGGAUGACAGGUGCUCUGCUGGACUGCAAAUCUAUGCUGAACAGGAUACUCCUACUCAAGACCUGACAAGUUCCAGCCUUUGAGCAACUUGAAGGUCAACUGCCCUGACCCUGGGCUGAUGAACUAAUUGGAAGUUUUUUUUGUUUUUGUUUGUUUUGAACUUAGUGAGUUUAUUCUGGCCAAAGGCUAGGGGAGGGACAGAGAACCUGUCCAGAGCAGACCUUGAGAAAUACAGGCAGAAUGUCCGUUGGCAGCACAGAGCUGAGGAAGUGUUGGGCAGAGCCUUUCAAUGGAAGGUGCAACAGAAGCCUGAGCUCUCUCCCUUCCGAUGGCUGACCGGGAAGUCAGGUGAGUGUGGACUUUGGAGCCUGUAAGGAGGCCAAGGCCAGCAGAAAGUGUCUGUUGUUCCAAGUAUAGCUGGGCCUUUGAGGGCUAUGGGGCUUAGGUUGUAACCUCACUUUAGAUAAUCUGGUACUGUUGGGACCAGAACCAUUCCACAACUCUAUGUGGCUACACUCACUCCUUAGGCAAGGCAGCUAGGCAGGCUAAUCUCCAGAAGGACCCCAUGACCUUCCGUUUCCAGAUUCCUAAACAGAAUGGACAGGUGAGUGGACACUGCUGCAUCUUGAGGGCUGGAGAUGGUGUGUGAACACAGCCACCUGUUGGCCGUGCCUGGUAUUGCUACAGGCAAUGUUUGGACUCUUUCUAGCCAAGGCUUGUUUUGCUAGCUU